AACGAACGCUGGCGGCAUGCCUAACACAUGCAAGUCGAACGAGACCUUCGGGUCUAGUGGCGCACGGGUGCGUAACGCGUGGGAACCUGCCCUUAGGUUCGGAAUAACUCCCCGAAAGGGGUGCUAAUACCGGAUAAUGUCUUCGGACCAAAGAUUUAUCGCCUUUGGAUGGGCCCGCGUUGGAUUAGCUAGUUGGUAGGGUAAAAGCCUACCAAGGCGACGAUCCAUAGCUGGUCUGAGAGGAUGAUCAGCCACACUGGGACUGAGACACGGCCCAGACUCCUACGGGAGGCAGCAGUGGGGAAUAUUGGACAAUGGGCGAAAGCCUGAGCCAGCAAUGCCGCGUGAGUGAUGAAGGCCUUAGGGUUGUAAAGCUCUUUUACCCGGGAUGAUAAUGACAGUACCGGGAGAAGAAGCUCCGGCUAACUCCGU
rnacentral:rRNA from 1 species